GAACAUAAAAGAGUAAUCAUUCAAAAUGUUUUUAUGCACUUUUAUGCCAACUAUAUGAAGUAACAAAAAUACUUUGAUGAACACACUGCCAAUUAAUAUCGACACUUUUUCAUGUAGUGGUCUAAUAUGACCACUAGAGGGCGUAUGCAACAUAAUAAAGUCCCUCGCCAGAGAAGCGGGAAUUCAUAUCUUAUCUUUCCAGCAAUGAGCUGCUUUUGCAUCGUGUGAUUCCUCGGUGCAGGAAGGGUCUUUUUCUGCCCCACUGUUCUAUUUCUUCUUUAACUAUAUGAGGCUAUUUCACCUCAUUCACUGAAACUGCUGGUGAUGAUGGACUGUGUUCUCCAAGGGAGCGAGAGAAAAAAAAAGCUGCGAAGCUUUUGUUCCUCGCCUCAUCCGAGUUGUUCAUGUUGUCAACUCGUUAAAGCGCCCGGGGUGACAUUAGCACCGGCAUGAAUAUGCAAUGUGGCAUUGAUAUGACAACUCGCUCUCUCGCACCAAGGCUGAGUGACACCCCACGCGCACGAGCGCGCGCAUAUUGUGAACGUGCACGCUGACACGUAUCACCCACGCGUGUCCACGCAGCUUCGUGGCGAGUUAACCGAGUACACGGAGUGCACUAAUAGCCCUUGAGAUUCGCGGCAGCUCAAUUCACCUGUAAGGAAACAUGGCGCCUCCCUAAUCCAUUGCAAUUGAUUUGACAGCUUUAGUACAUAAGAUGACAACAGGUCAGCGAUGCUCCAUGCGGUGGAUUUGAAGACUUCCAAGAGUUCAGUCCGGGUCAUGACUGCAAGCUAACAAGACGAAAUGAGUUUCUUUUGAACACUUGUGAGUGACUGCAUCAAUUCCUAUGAAUAAUUAACAGAUGCUAGAUUAUCAUUUCAUUCGGAGCUUGUCCACAAGUCUCCGAGUCCCGAAGCAAAAACUGAGGAUAAAACCCCCAGUUCCUGCCAAGAAUAUUGAUUACACUGGUCAGAUGCAUAUUUUAAUGAUUUGAUUUUAAAAGUCUCUUUUUUUGUGUAGUGCAUCGGGGUUUUCAUUUUUCCCAAAAUAGUGUUUUUUUGUGUGUGUGUGUGUGUUUAUUUUUGCUGCUAUCAGUGUCAUCUCGGUAGUCAUUAUUCCGUCAUCAAAAUCCAGGGUGGACAAAAGGCUCUUGUUGUUUCCCUGAUGCAAAAAUAACAACGCAGUCAAACGAGCAUAAAAUGGCAAUGCCGUUUUCAUGCAGAGAUGUAAUUAGUGUCCACAGCCUCGAUUUCCCAGGAGAUGACGACGGCGGGCCAACACACGCUACUAAUCCUCAUAUACCUGACUCACAGUUUUAAUUAAUUGUUGCCACAUCCUGCAAACCCAUCCGGAGUUCCGGACGCACUUCCAGCACCUCCAUCCAGAGAGAGCCGGAGCUUUAUCGUAUCAUGAGAGAAAAUAGGCGAAACUGGACUGAGUAGGAGGGAGCAGGCCCUUGCCAUCCAACAACAACAUGAAGAACACCGCAAAGAAAACCCAGCGGUGCAAUCGGUGUGUAUCUUCUCAACGAGGUGAGGGAACCAAAUUUUUUCAUUGAAUAUUUGAGAUUUGCACUCAGAAGCAAGCUUGUGUUCAUCAAUUUGGAAGAAAAAAAAAAGGAAAAUAAGUUUCUCUCUGCCCAACAACAAAAAAAGGACCCCCGAUCUGCUUUGGAUGGUGAACGACUGCAUCAGCAACUUGUCUUUGAGAUCAAGCUCUAAUCUCGCCGCCUUCUCCUCAAUCGCAUUAGAGUGACUGAGCGUGAGCGUGUUCUUUCACUUGAAUGCAGAAUGUACGCUGAUGCUGCGCGGGGAUGGGGGGGGGGGUUCUAUGACAGUGACUGACUCUCCCUGUGAGCUGUCAUUGCAGGUGCUGGGGGGGGGGUCAACCUGCUCAGUACACAUCAUCGCACCAACCGGUCAUAAAAGAAAAAAAACCCCCAGAUGACGCUUCUCAACAUCUGUUGCAUGCUCCCGUCCUGUUUUCCAACCACAACCCCCCCCCACCCCUUAAAUCCUGUCAGAGCGUGUCCGUAUCCAGGCCAACCACUGGCUCAACCCCCACUGCCCGCUCCCCUGUAUUCCCCGCCUCAUGUUGAGUUUGGAAAUCCACAACAAAACACCUGGGGUGUCUCCUCAGGACAAUAUGUGCUACUUCUGGUGAGAAAAUGUUCAAAGUGCUCACUUGUGAUGGCUGCAACGGGGGAGGAGGAAUGGGAGAGUGUGUUCUUAUACACUGUAUCUCAUAACACGUGUGUGUGUGUGUGUGUGGGGGGGCUAUAUGUGCAAGCUUGAACCUGGUCCAACUGCUAGGCCCUUUUUUCUCUCUGCAGGGGGUUGUGAUGUCAUCCUCCCACAACGGCGCUGUGCUUUCACACCAGAGUGAGUCACAUAGCUUGAGCUCUUUACUGUGUAUGCGGCGCACGAGAAAUACUUUGAAUUCCGUCUUUGCCUCUACCUCUUCCCCGAACGUGUCAAGGAAAAGGUGCCUCUGUACAUCUCGACAGAGCUCGGAAAAUUUCUGACAGCCACUGAGAUGUUUUGACGCCCUCACGUGGCAUGUGCAACGCCAGAUAUGCAUUCGGGUCCAAGUAAGUAAAAGAGUCUUAAAGGGAUUCAUAAGUAAUGCAUAGCCCAGGCUUGUAAUGGACUUGGCGCAAUGCCGCUCAAACCCACACGGGACUGUUUCCCCGACUCGCUCCUCUUGGCCCAUGAAGAAAUAUUUUAUUCCAUUUCUACAGGGCUUGUUCUCUCGCCAUAGCCCCGUGGGUGAACUGGAUUUUGAGAUAGAGGCGCCCCAAACCAAAGAAAUAUUCAUAUAUUGUAGUGUUGACGUGUUGACAUUUACCCGACUUAUUGGUCUGAUUUUUCUUUUUCCGGAAAUGUCAACAAUAUGUCAUUCUGAGAAGAUUGAAGUAUCACUCUUAAAAACCUUGCUGCGCUUUUUCGGAAUAAGCAUAUGCCGUGAUGCGUGGCACCCAUCCAGAAAGAAGCAAAUGCAGCUUGUCAUACUGAGGUCUGGCAAGAUUUUUGAAGAGUGGCUAACACUGUCAAGAAAAU